rnacentral:rRNA from 1 species
GACGAACGCUGGCGGCGUGCUUAACACAUGCAAGUCGAACGGAAAGGCCCUGCUUUUGUGGGGUGCUCGAGUGGCGAACGGGUGAGUAACACGUGAGUAACCUGCCCUUGACUUUGGGAUAACUUCAGGAAACUGGGGCUAAUACCGGAUAGGAGCUCCUGCUGCAUGGUGGGGGUUGGAAAGUUUCGGCGGUUGGGGAUGGACUCGCGGCUUAUCAGCUUGUUGGUGGGGUAGUGGCUUACCAAGGCUUUGACGGGUAGCCGGCCUGAGAGGGUGACCGGCGACAUGGGGACUGAGAUACGGCCCAGACGCCAACGGGAGGCAGCAGUGGGGAAUAUUGCACAAUGGGGGGAAGCCUGAUGCAGCAACGCGGCGUGCGGGAUGACGGCCUUCGGGUUGUAAACCGCUUUCGCCUGUGACGAAGCGUGAGUGACGGUAAUGGGUAAAGAAGCACCGGCUAACUACGUG